rnacentral:rRNA from 2 species
GACUCUCGGCAACGGAUAUCUUGGCUCUUGCAUCGAUGAAGAACGUAGCGAAAUGCGAUACUUGGUGUGAAUUCAGAAUCCCGUGAACCAUUGAGUCUUUGAACGCAAGUUGCGCCCUAGGCCCUAUGGUUGAAGGCACGCCUGCCUGGGCGUCA